GGGGAAUAUUGCACAAUGGGCGAAAGCCUGAUGCAGCGACGCCGCGUGCGGGAUGACGGCCUUCGGGUUGUAAACCGCUUUCAGCAGGGAAGAAGCGAAAGUGACGGUACCUGCAGAAGAAGCACCGGCUAACUACGUGCCAGCAGCCGCGGUAAUACGUAGGGUGCGAGCGUUGUCCGGAAUUAUUGGGCGUAAAGAGCUUGUAGGCGGUUUGUCGCGUCUGCUGUGAAAACCCGGGGCUCAACCCCGGACUUGCAGUGGGUACGGGCAAACUAGAGUGUGGUAGGGGAGACUGGAAUUCCUGGUGUAGCGGUGAAAUGCGCAGAUAUCAGGAGGAACACCAAUGGCGAAGGCAGGUCUCUGGGCCAUUACUGACGCUGAGAAGCGAAAGCGUGGGGAGCGAAC
rnacentral:rRNA from 1 species